rnacentral:tRNA from 1 species
GCCCCCAUCGUCUAGAGGCCCAGGACACGUGGUUCUCAGCCACGGGACAGCGGUUCGAAUCCGCUUGGGGGUACCA